UUAAUAUCACUAUUAAAACAAAACUCAUGCACUCCGAUUUGCAUAAAAGUAAGAGAGCACUAAAUAACGAACAUUCUUGAAAAAAUCGGGAUUUUGACCAAAUUUUAUUUUUUUUAGAGGUUAUGAAGGGGUGGCAACUAUCUAAACUUAUGUUAGUGUAUACUCAAAAGUAUCCUUAAUAUCACUAUUAAAACAAAACUCAUGCACUCCGAUUUGCAUAAAAGUAAGAGAGCACUAAAUAACGAACAUUCUUGAAAAAAUCGGGAUUUUGACCAAACUUAAUUUUUUUUACAGGUUAUGAAGGGGUGGCAACUAUCUAAACUUAUGUUAGUGUAUACUCAAAAGUAUCCUUAAUAUCACUAUUAAAACAAAACUCAUGCACUCCGAUUUGCAUAAAAGUAAGAGGGCACUAAAUAACGAACAUUCUUGAAAAAAUCGGGAUUUUGACCAAAUUUUAUUUUUUUUAGAGGUUAUGAAGGGGUGGCAACUAUCUAAACUUAUGUUAGUGUAUACUCAAAAGUAUCCUUAAUAUCACUAUUAAAACAAAACUCAUGCACUCCGAUUUGCAUAAAAGUAAGAGAGCACUAAAUAACGAACAUUCUUGAAAAAAUCGGGAUUUUGACCAAACUUAAUUUUUUUUACAGGUUAUGAAGGGGUGGCAACUAUCUAAACUUAUGUUAGUGUAUACUCAAAAGUAUCCUUAAUAUCACUAUUAAAACAAAACUCAUGCACUCCGAUUUGCAUAAAAGUAAGAGGGCACUAAAUAACGAACAUUCUUGAAAAAAUCGGGAUUUUGACCAAACUUAAUUUUUUUUACAGGUUAUGAAGGGGUGGCAACUAUCUAAACUUAUAUUAGUGUAUACUCAAAAGUAUCCUUAAUAUCACUAUUAAAACAAAACUCAUGCACUCCGAUUUGCAUAAAAGUAAGAGAGCACUAAAUAACGAACAUUCUUGAAAAAAUCGGGAUUUUGACCAAAUUUUAUUUUUUUUAGAAGUUAUGAAGGGGUGGCAACUAUCUAAACUUAUGUUAGUGUAUACUCAAAAGUAUCCUUAAUAUCACUAUUAAAACAAAACUCAUGCACUCCGAUUUGCAUAAAAGUAAGAGGGCACUAAAUAAGGAACAUUCUUGAAAAAAUCGGGAUUUUGACCAAAUUUUAUUUUUUUUAGAGGUUAUGAAGGGGUGGCAACUAUCUAAACUUAUGUUAGUGUAUACUCAAAAGUAUCCUUAAUAUCACUAUUAAAACAAAACUCAUGCACUCCGAUUUGCAUAAAAAUAAGAGGGCACUAAAUAACGAACAUUCUUGAAAAAAUCGGGAUUUUGACCAAAUUUUAUUUUUUUUAGAGGUUAUGAAGGGGUGGCAACUAUCUAAACUUAUGUUAGUGUAUACUCAAAAGUAUCCUUAAUAUCACUAUUAAAACAAAACUCAUGCACUCCGAUUUGCAUAAAAAUAAGAGGGCACUAAAUAAC